CUCUUAGUGUCGGUUUGAUUGGACGUGAAUUUGAAAUUGAUUUCUGUUUCAAGUAGAAAAUCGUAAAAGUCGAUAUGAUUUCAAAUUCAAAUACAUCAUUUGAAAUCCAUAUAUAUUCAACGGAACCAAUGCGGAAUGUUUUGAGUAGCUGGCAUGAUUUUACCUCGCAACCUUGUUGUAGGAUGGAGUUGGCAUAGCAAAAAGGAGAAGAAAAAGUUAAAAAUCGGGGAAAUCAGAUUAGAAAAUAAGAAUAAUUGUUUGCUGGAAACUUAGGUAGAAAGAAUUUAGGGUAUAAAGGAGUGACGGAGUGGGUAGCAAAAUAUUUAAGCACAUCGUGAGAAUCGAAAAACGGCUUAGCACGGGCUAAGCCAAUAAGUUUGGCACACCAAAACUUAGAAGAAAACUUCUGAAAUUAAAUUGAUGAACAUUUAGUCCAUGUUGCCCUUUAAGGCUACAUAUUUAGAAAUUAUUAUCAUAGUAAAGACAACUUGAAAAACUAAGUUCUAGUAAGGCCUAUUGUCUAGAUAAAUACAAAUAUUUACGUUUGUUGCUCAUUUUAUCCAAACUUUUUAAUUUUGGACAAUUAAACCAAAUCUUUUAAAAUUAAAGAUAUUUUAUCCAACAUCCAAAUUAGAAUUUGAUAAAUUAUAAUUUAGUUCCUGAGGUUGGCGAAAUCUAACAACUUGGCCUUUAUAUUUUCAAAAUUAAACAAUUUAGUAAUUGACAUUUGGGAAAACUUAUGACUUAGUCCUUAUAUUUUCACAACCAAGAAACUUAGCUCAUGAUAUUUGGCAAAACCUAUAACUUAGUCCCUUAAUUUAAAUUUUAUAUUUAAAUAGUAUAAUAAAUAUAUUAAUCUUUUCAAAAUUAAUUCUUCCUAAUAAGAAAAUUUCAAAAUUAUUUUGGAAAAUUUCUUAAGUUUUCCCAUAUAUGUUUUUUAGAUUUUAACUAAUGAAAUUUUGAUUUCUUGAAAUAAAAUAAGAAAAAUUCUUGCAUUGGAAAAAUGAAGAUCCAGUCAAGUUGGGUUUACAGGUAGCAACUCGACUUGUGAUAUCUCUUCUUGGAGCUAUGAUCUUCGUGUUUUCAAUAACUAAGAAUUUGUCUGGGACAAGUUGUGGGACGGAGGCGGGUCUUUGACUUGAUAGUUUGUGACCACUAGAUUGAUCCAGGGAAGCUUGUGGCUUCUCAUUUCUCUAUCUUAGACAAUAUAUAGAGAAGAGCAGUUUGGUAAUUUUUUCUAUAAUAAAAAGUCAAUUGGACAGAGGGACUAAGUUGUAGGUUUUAUUAAAUCUCAGGGAUUAAAUUGCUUUGUUUUGCCUGUAAAACUAUGCAUGAUAUUGUUAUAAGCAAACUUAGCUUGUAGAAGUACAUGAUCCAUUGCUUGUACUUAUCUCCAUUGUUAUAUGCAAACUUAGCAUACUCUGAAUCAAAUUUCUCAAUAUUCAAUUGACAAUAUCAGUUUGUCCAUUAGUUUGUGGAUGUAUUGUGCUAUUGAAAUUUCUAUUGAACUUGAGAUAGAAAGUAGUAAGUCUAUGGAAACUUCUGUUGUUAUUCGUGGUCUUUGUUGUAGGCCAAUAAAUGAUUGCUCUCACCUCAUCUUCAUCUGCCUGUAUGCCUUUAGAACUGAACACAAAUUCUAAGAAUACAAGCCUUUUAGUCGUAAAACCACUCUUCUUGAUGCAUCCUACAUCGGUUCUGCAGGGAGGUCUUGAGUGUUAUAUGUAUGGGUUUGCAAACCUCCCCUCGUGAGUUAGCUUUUGAGGUGGAGUUAGGCAGAUUCAUAUUAUUUGGUAUCAGAGCCUCACUUUGUGCUAGUCAGUGGGCUAUGUAUAAAGGUUCUCUGACGUUCUAUGAAAGAGGUCGGGGUAAAGAAGUCAUGACCUGAGGGGUGAACAAGUCAUGAAUGUCCUCUUGAAGCAAUCGGGGUCAUGACUUGUUCACCUCAACCACUCCCGAAGAAUGUUAGGGAACCUUUGUACGUGGCUCACUGACUCGUGUAGAGUGAGGCUUUGAUACAAAAUGAUAUGAUCUUGCCUAAAUUCACUUCAAAAGCUAGUUUACGAGGGGAGAUUUGCAAAUCCAUACAUACGACAACUAUGACCUCCCUCCAAAAUCGAUGUGGGAUGCAUCACUUCUUUAGGUUUAGGUAUAAUUUGUUUUCUUGAAGAACUUUCAUUACCUCUGUCAAGUAUUCAAUACGCUUUUCUUCGUACUUGUUGUAGAUCAAAAUAUCAUCCAAGUAGAUUAUAACAAACUUUCCAAUGAAAUACUUAAGUACUUGGUUCAUCAACCUUAUGAAAGUGCUAGGUGCAUUGGAUAAUCCAAAUGACAUAAUUAACUACUCAUAUAACCCUCCUUAGACUUAAAGGUGGUUUUCCAUUCAUCUCUUGGUCGAAUUUGAAUCUAGUGGUAGCCACUCCUUAGAUCAAGUUUGGGAAAAAAUUGGGCUCUAGAUAAUUGAUUGAGCAUUUCCUUGAGCCUCGGUAUUGGAAACCUGUAUCAAUUGGUGAUUUUGUCAAUGGCUUGGGCCACGUGGUUGUCAACAUGCAUUUUCCAAUUCCCAUCCUUCUUCAGGGUUAGCAAUGUUGGGAUUGCACAAUGACUCAUGCUUUUCCGAAUGUAAGCUUUAUCAGUAAGCACAUCACUCCAUUUCUUUAAUAUCUCACUCCUUUGGAUUCAUCCUGUAAUGAGAUAGGCUAGGCAAACUUCCCCUUGGAACCAUAUCUAGAUGAUGCUAAAUGUUCCUCAUAGGUGGCAACUCCUUUGGUAACUCUUCAGGAGCCAACCCUUUGAACUCAAUCACAACUCCUUCACGGCAAUAGGAACAAAGGCUAUUGCUUUUGCCUUUGUGUUUGGUUUUGUUUUGACUGUUUACUGGUUUACAACCCCGCAAGUGCAUGAAUUGUGAAUAAGUAACAUAGUAAUGAGUAGAGUAUCGUUCUCACGAGGAAUUUGUAAGUACCAAGCUGGACAACAAUUUUGACUGUUUAAAUUACCGAAUAUGAUGAGAGGUUUAAUCUAAAGACGUUGAAAAUAAAAGAAGACACAUCAGUAAACUUAAAUUUAGAAAACAAUUUACGAAAACAAUUUCAGAAUUAGGAUUUCACACUUCAACCUUAUUAUGGACUUAACCUUAACUAUUUAACAAAUUUAGAAUUAUUACUUUGAUGGAAAUUAAUCCUAACAGAUCUUAAGUCCUCUCUCAAGGCGCUUAAGGUGUAUUUUAAUUAACUUGAACCCUAUAUUUAGGGUGAUCAAUCUUAAUUAAAAUCUUUUAAGCUUUUUAAUUAAUUAUGGAACUCUACAAAGGAUUUCAGCCUACCUCUAGGUCAAAUUUUCUUAGUUCAAAAUCCUAAUUUUCAAUAUUAAUCUUCAUCUUUCAGUUCUUUAAUUAAUAUCUUAUAUCAUCGUUAAGUGGGUACCAGCACAAAGCAUAGAUUAAAAACAUAGAAUAUUGAAUGAAAGAAUACAACUUAAAUUCAUUAAAUAACUUUAGUAUAGAUCCAUAAUAAAAAUUGAAAGUGCUACUCUCUUAACCCUAGAAUUAAAUAAACUACUAACUCAUGGUGAGUUUAACAAACAUAAUGAAAUCAAAGUAAAAGGACACAAGAUAAUCUAAAGAAAUAAAACAAGAGAAUCUAGAACAAAGAUUUAUAGCCUUAAACUUUUAAAACUUCAGCUGAGAGUCCUUCUCCUUGAGCUUUGAUACAGAUUCUCUCUAAAUUGCUUAAAAAUUUAGGGUUUGGAAGUAAAGCAAACUCUCAUGCCUGUUUCGGUCUUCUAGUAUUUAUAUCAAGUGCUUAAAAGUCAUGUUUUUGAGUCUCAAAAGCCUUGGAAGUUUGUUCGGAAUAAGUGUAGUAGAAUCCAGGUCGAAGUAGAAGUCCUGUCUAGUGCAAAGUACACGGCCUGUGUGGCAUUACACAGCCUUGACUCAUGUAAGUCUCUGAACAACUUCAUGCUUCAUAUUUUAGGGAAGACAACAAAUUACACAGGGUCUUGGAUGUUACACGGGGCAAACUACACGGCCCGUGUACUGUUGUUUUUCCAAGCUCUCUCAAGUUCCCUUGGCUAGGAGGUUACAUGGGUCAUGCUUUUGGUUUACACGACUUUUUUGACUUCUAAGCCUGUUCAAUUGACUUCUAUAUAUUGGAUUUUCAUUAAAUCACCUAAAAAGAUACAGAAAACACGAAAUUAAGCGGAGACUAUUAAAAGUAAUAGAAAUUAAUGAUCCUAAGUAAAAUUCAUGUAAUUAACUAUCUAAAUACUAUGAAAUGUAAUGCAAAGGUAUCUCAAAAUACCUAUAUGAUACAAGUGUAUCAAAUACCCUAAAACUCGAACUUUUACUUGUCCUUAAGCAAAAUAAAACUUUUAAAAACUCAUUAAGGUACUUGAUUUUUUUUGAAAACAUAACCAAGAACUUAACUUGCACAUAAUUGAACUCUCUACGAACUCAUAUCAAUUUUCCUACCUUUAAGGCAUUGAGACAUCAAUGUUUGCUUGUUAGAAUUUCAUUCCCCUCAUGGAGUUUUAACCAAUCAUUCAACUUAUAAGGCCAUUAAUAAGCUACAAAUAGCCUGUUUUACUAGGAUAAAUUUGAGAAACACUUACUUACCUCAAAUUGUCUCUAUUAUGGAUGAUUGUGAUAAAGUGAGGUGAUAUAUUUCCAACUCCAUAGGCAUACCUCAAUUUCUUAUUUUCACUAAUGUAGCAUGUACUUUUCAAAAGAUUAAAAGGUUUUUAAUAGGAUUGUAACAGGGUUAGAGGGUAAUGACUUGGCUGCCAAUGAAAAGGUUUUAGGGAAUGCAAGUAUGAGGAUUGCUAUCAUGCAAAAGUUUCAAAUACACUAGGUUUAUUUUUCUUUUUCUCUAUUUUUGCAUGGAAAAGAAGAGCGUUUUCUUGAUGACUUGGUUUUAGUGUUAAGUAUGCUUGCUUGGUGCUCAAAUUGGGACUUCUUUGAUUGUUUUCUUGACUUUAUUUGGUAUUUGUAUUCCUUUGGUGCUUACCCCAAACUCGUUGCUUUUAAUGGGUUGGAAGGAUAAUCCUUUUGAUAUUUUUGACUACAUACUUGCACUUCUUUUGAUUUUGCAUCUUCUUUCCAUCUUUUCUCUCUCUCUCUCUCUCUCUCUCUCUCUUUUUUUUCCAUACACCUAGCGUACCUUUCACCUAUGCACUUUGGCUUCCUCAUGGUGUAGGAUAAGUGUUUAGGCAAAGGGCUUGGGCAAUGUUAUGGGUUAUCAAAGAAAUCAUAUAAGGGAAUAGAUGUAGGUUCAAAUUGACUUUAAGAGGUGAAAAUUUGAUUUAAGGUGGCUAAGGUUAUAAUGAGUUUGUCAACAAAGAAUGCUUUAAUCAUAUCUUUAUUAAGCAUAUGCUAAGAUUUUGCCUCAAUAGGUCUAAGAGAUGUGUUCUAGGUUUGGUGAGGCAUAUCUAGGCUUGUUCAUAUUUCAAAAAUUUUCUCCUAAUUUUACAAGUCCAAUGUGACAAAUUAAUAGCAAUGAGGGGGGUUUAAUUAGUUUGACUUCACUUAGGCAAUGGAUUUUUCACAAACAAUACAUUGAAGCUUUUUUGCCUAUUCAAUUACAUCCAUUAUACUUUCCAAGAGAGAUUAAUUAUUAGCUCAUUAAGAUUUUUAGUUAUAGUUCUAAGAUAAAAAUUUUUGAAAAAGUUCAAAAAUUGAAAAAAAAAUUCUGGAUUUUGAUACAUAAGUAUGAUAAAGGUAUAAUAAAGCAAUGGAAUUAUUAAAUGUGAAAUGUCUAAAAUGAAAUACAAUGCAUGAAUGCACCCCUAAGCUCAAAUUUGACAUUGUCCUCAAUGACAACAUAUUAUACAAGCCAAAUACAGAUAGAAUAAGAUAAUAAACACACGAUAUUAGUAAAGCAAAUAUGUAUUAAGGCAAAGCAUAUAAACAUAAGGGCAAAGUUUGUUCAAAAUAAACUAACUAGACUAGGUAUUAACUAAGACUAAGGCCUAAGCCUGUACAAUAUCUUAAAAUCUAUCCUAAGUCUAGAAAGUCUCCAAUGAUGAGGAAGGUGCCCCCUCGUCUUGCCUCUUAAGAAUCAUGUCUAGUUUGUUGUGGGCUUCCUGGAGAUUGUCCACUAUAGCCUUGAUCCUGUCGGAUAGAGUAGUCUUCAGUGUCCUCAUCUAGUUGUUGAUAGUCGUCUCCAUCUUCUGUAGAUACGCAAGGACUGUAUCUGCUGAUGGUGGUGUGUAUGGAGUGACUUAGAAUGGUGACCUUGGAGCAGGGGGUCCAAUUCUUCUUACUGCUUUUGGGGCUGCUCUUGUGCUUGCAACAUUACCCUCGGUAAAUCGAUAAACAUUCUUCCUUCCAAUGUGGUGCGCAUCCCGAUCAAAUUGCUAAGGCCUACCAAACAGAAGAUGAGAUGUUUCCAUGUCCACAAUGUCAUGUAAAAUCUUAUAUUUAUAUUUGCCAAUGGAGAAAGGAAUUCAAUAUUGUUCAGCAACAAAAAUUGGCAGUAUUAUUUUGAUCCAUGUAAUUUUGUAGGGCUCUGGAUGCUUUUCAACUUGCAAAUUCAUCAUAUUCACAAGUUGGCGAGAAAUAAUAUUCUCACUCCUCCCACUAUCAAUCACGAGUUAAAAAAAAUCCUCUCUUGAACUCUGCAUUGAGUUCUAAACAGAUUUUGGCUUUGAGAGUCAUCAGCUUUCUUCAAAGUCAACAAACUUUUUUUGAAUCAUAUAGCGAAAGGCACUGGCAUCAAACUCUUCGCUCUUUAGGGUCACAAAUGACCUUUUCCUCUUCAGGAUCACCACUUUCAACAUGCUCCACGAGUGCAACUUGCUUCUGUGAAGUACAUUCAUUGGAACGAUGCUUUGGUUGUUCACAUUUGAAUCACUUGCCUAGAAUUGGUUUGGUAUGGGGAUUGGAGUUGCUGCUCUUCUCCUCUUCUUUAGGUGUUGCAGGAUUCAGCUUCUAGGAGUUAACUUGUAUUUUUGGCUCUGUUGCAGGAGUUUCAGCAAUCUGCUUGUUGUUACCUAUCGCAAGGGUUUUUGCGGUCGGCUGGACGAGCUCUCACCGAAGUGGGAAAAGUGAGGAGUCGCCACUUUAAUUUUGAGGGAAAUUAAAGAAAACCAUUUUGAAAAUUAAAAUCCACUUUAAAAACAAAGAUUCUAGGUUCAGAGUCCGAAUACGGGUGGGGAAGCUGUUAGGCACCCCACCUCGUCCCUCAACGAGGGUAAGCAGUUUUAAUAUUAUGCUCUUUAUGAAUUGAUAAUUUAGGGGGGUUAGAAUGAUGAUGUUAGUCCUUUGUUCGGAUAAAAGGAAUAUUUGAUAUUUCACUAUUUAGGGUUGCCCAAGAACACGAGUACGUGAGAUGACCCUUCAGUGAAUAGGCGUCGUGCAAUGGAUUUUUGUUUGAGGGUUAAUUUGUAUAUUGAAGUUGUAAUAUUUUAAUUUGGAUUUAAGUUAAGAGAAUUCGGAUAAGAACUCUUUCCCGAUCUCUUAAAGUGUUUUGUUUAAAAUUUAAGCGGGAGAUUUCGGAUAAGGACUCUCCUCCGAUCUCUACAUAUUUUAUUAAGAUUGUUGUCUGAGAAUUCGGGUAAGAAUUCUCCCCCCUAUCUCUUAGUUUAUUCUGUUUAAAAUUCAAGUGGGAGAUUUCGGAUAAGAACUCUCCUCCGAUCUUUGCAUAUUUAAUUAAGACUCUAGCCGAGAAUUCGGGUAAGGACUCUCCCCCGAUCUCUUAAUGCUGAGAAGUUUAAUUGAGAACUCGGGUAAGAACUCUCCCCCGAUCUCUUGGUGUAUUUAAGAAUUUAAGUUGAGAACUCGGGUAAGAACUCUCUCUCGGUCUCUUGGUGUAUUUAAGAAUUUAAGUUGAGAACUCGGGUAAGAACUCUCCCCCGGUUUCUUAAUAUAUUAUGUUUUAAAAAUUAGAUUGAGUUCGGGUGAGGACUCUCCUAAGGACUGUCCCCCGAACUCUUAAUGUGUUAUGUUUUAAAAAUUAGACCGAGCUCGGGUAAGGACUCUCCUCCGAACUCCUAAUGUGUUUAUUAGAAUUGCAUUUUAUAAGAACUUUAAACUAAGGAUUCUAGUGACCGAGGGCGCAAGAAACCUGUGCAAAGCUUUUCUAACCCACUGAACCUUAUAACUAAAGGGAGGAUACAAGACUGAACUUCUUGCCGAUCUUCUACGCGAUUGUCUUAUCAGAACUCUUUGAUCCGAUCUCUUUUAAUUGCUCACCUGGAAUCCGAACUUAUCUUGAUUCCCGAUCUAUUAUAUUAUCACCUAGGCUUGUUCCGUGGCCCGACCUCAUAACUUGUUCGUUUGACCUAUUCUCGCUUCCAGCCUAUUCGACCUUUUGUUACACCUAUCUUUUUAUCAUUUUUAUUUUUUUGACCUGAAAACUCUCAUGUCGAAAUACCCCUGCCUAUAUUCUUUUGAGUAUUUACUAGUUGCUUGUGACUUGAACGUCUACUCUCGAAGAAAAUGAAAACUAAAUGACGAUAAAUGGGAUUUGCGAAUAAAUAAGAAAAGGCACAGGAGAUAAUUUCGGGACUAUUCUGAGACUUAAUAUAACUGGAUGUAAAAGAAACUUUAAAAGUAGAUUUGAGAAAACGAACCAAGGGUAUUUAACAAAAUGACAGUGUAGAUGCUUACCUGUGGAAAAGUUGAGGAGACAGAUGAGCUGAUUCCGGUAUCCACGAAUCUUGAAGGAGUGGGAGCUGACGGCCGAAUGACCAGGACUUACCCAAAGUAAUGGGAAGAGGUCGGAACAAAGUUGAACUCGAGGGGGGGGGGGGGGGUAAUGCCAGAUACUAGUACGGUGGGAAUAAGGUGAAGAUGAAGAUGGUUACACUGAAACUAAAAAAAUAGAAGUUUUAGGACUUAAAAGUUCCUUUGGAUGAAAAUACUUAAGAAAAUUGGUUUCUGAAGUUUCUCAACACUUCGAAAGCUCGGAAUGACAAGUAGCAAGACUGAAUCAAAUUUCAGAGUCUUUCCACUAUAAUCACCACCUUUUCAUUUUUUUUUGUCCGUCCUUUCUACAGUAUUGCAUGCAGGUAUUUAUAGGAAACUGGUGCCCAUAAUGAAGGGUUAGGAUCUCACCAGGGGAGACGGAGGGUUUAGAUUCAAAAGGACGUAAUCUGAUGUCUGAGAAUUAAAGAGAAUCAAAAUGGAGGGUCGGGAUUCCGUUCUGAAUAUCCGUCCUUUCUUCUCUUAAUCCAACGGCUCAGGGUCUUGCCUUACAAAAUGGAUCCAAAGGCUAGGAAUAAAAAGCGCCGAACCUGUCAUCUGCUUUUUGAUCUGAGGGCUCCGGAUCGAUCUUUACGAUUAUGAUCAACGGUGGAGAUCGAGAUGUACAGGACUGCGUUAACUGUUUUGGCGUGUGGUGAGGUUCUGAUCAUGCCUGUAAUGCUUUAACUAAUUCGGAUAUGACGAUGAAGAGAGUUGAUUGAAAGUUAUUUAAUCUCUCUAUGCUUUCCGAUCUUAAUUUUCUUCCGAUCUCUCUAUUAUGAACCUCUCCUUUUCCGAUCUCUCUCUUGUAUCGGGUCUCCACUCAUUUCCCGAUUUCUCCCAUUCUAGAUCUUUCCCUUUUAUCUAACUUGCAUUGGUCAACGUAAUAAAUUCUUCAGUUAUCGAUGCAUCCGCUUCGGGUUCUGUAUGCAUAAGUGCCAAGGUCCUAUAUAUAUGCAGCGAUGGGAAAUUAUCUUCACACCUCACUUUUCCUUUCUUAGUUUGUUUUCAAAGCACCCCUUUCCUAAUUUUAGCUUUUCCGGUGAUAAUUUUAAUCAUGAUGCCAUUUUGAUUUUUUUCCGACUAUUUCCUUCGUCCCUCGCCUGAAAAUUUAUGACCCCGGCAAUCGGAGAGCCAUAAGAAUGUUAUCUAAUGACAGUGAGGGAACCAGACUAAUUUACCGAUCAAGAUCGAAAGUGACGGCCGUGUCGAUCUCGAAUCGGUCUAUCGGUAUAAUCGGUAGACCGAUCUCAGACAAGAGGACUGCUAAUUUCAAUCUUAAUGUCGGUGACUGCCUCUUGAAGUUCAUUUGGCUCCUAAUCAUAUCGGGCGUUCCGACUGCAGCUCGGUUCUGAUCAAUAACAUCGGUGAUGACUCCGCUCAAUAUCAUGAGUCAUAGUCACUCCAUCUGAGCUGUACAUCUAUCCAACAUUUGUGAUUGGCUUUCUGAUCAAACACAUCUUUUGAUUCAACCACAAGACUAGGCUUUGACAUAGGCCUGCAUUCCGGGCCUCGGAGUAGUCUCAAGCUAGGUAGAAUGUAGUGCUGAUUUUGAGAGAUUGCUCAAAUGAUGUAAUCCGAUCUUUUGAAAUCGCCCAAAUGAUGUAAUCCGAUCUUUUGAGAAAUAAAAUGAAAAUUUUAUUUGAAUUUUUUUGUUUUGUUAUCGCAUUAGUUAUCUUUUCGAUCUCAGAUAAGUGUGUCCGAUCUGAUCCCAAGACGAAUCGUCUUUCGGCAAUCCGUGGGUUCGGAAAUUUAUUCAAUUUGAUGACCUUAGUUAACCGAUCUCAUUUAUCCGAUUUUUAUUAUGUUUCUGGAACCUUCUUGCGACGUGUCAAAGAAGCGGCCGGGUUCCGCUAACCGAUGCGUCGCUUAGGACUUCGUGAGCAUUUAAUGCUCAGACGGGUAUAAAUAGGGGAGGGGUGACUUAUUUGCUUCCUUAUAUCAUUUCAGAGCUUCCUUUAGCAAUUUCAGCACUCCUUUUCGUUUUUUAGAGUUUUCAGGCACCGAUUAUACUCCGAUAAGGAUUUUAAUCUUUCCUCGGUUAAUUUUCUUUUUGUUUUCUGAAAAUGAGCGGUACCGAGGGUCAGAGAGCUGCGAGCCGCCUUCCGUCCAUAUAUUGUGGAUCUCUGAAGAAUGCGAUGUGAUUAGAUCAGGCGGACGAUCCAGCAUGGCCAUCGUUCCGGUUACUGGUCCGGCUACCCGACCGAAGCGAGGAACCUCUUCGAGAAGGGAAAACCUGCUAGUCAAUGAGUUGCCGUCCGUCCUGAGAGAAAUCGAUCUCCAGUCCAUAAGUCAAGAGUACAAUUUGCGGAUUGACUCCUUUGAACUGAUCAAAUGCCAUGGUGACCUUUGGGCCGAUCACUUCUUUAAUGAAGGCGAUCUCAUCAUAGUAUACAAAGAGCAGCUGAAGGCCAGACUCCGUUUUCCUUUGGAUGAAUUUUAUAAGGCCGUCAUAAAGUUUCACCAUGUUUCGGUAGCUCAAGUACAUCCGAACUCCUGGAGGACUUUAGCAGUUUCAGGGGCCUCUGCCGAGCCAAGAAGUUGGAGCCCACGGCUAAAGUCUUUGUCGAGCUGCAUAGGCUUACCCGAAGGAAGAAUGACGAAUUCUGGUUCUUUCAGGCGAAGCUGAACUGCGCGCUUUUUACCGAUUUCCCUUCUUCAUUAAAGAAUUGGAAGAACCGGUUUUUCAUAUUAAGGAGCAAGAUUCCGAACGGCUUCGAGGGUAUCCCACGGAGUUGGCAAUACUUGGUCGCUUCAAUUCCAAAGAAGAUCACCCCAAAUAAGGACGAAGACGCCAUGGUGAACGAUUUAAAGACUCAGGCGUCCACCCACAAAUUCUCGUGUUUAGAUGCGGUUAUGGCCGAACUGACGUGGUGGAUGAUGCGCCUGAUCACCGACUAAGACAACGAGCUUUAGCUAUCUGACCUCGGUCCUGGUAUGGCGGGUGGCGAGGCUUCUAAAGAGAGCCGCAAGCGAAAGAGGGAGGUCUCCCGAAAGGUAAGGGCGAUGAAGGAGGCCACUGCUACUGCUGCUCAAACUGCUCAGCGAGAAUUGGUAGAAAUAUCGAGCUCCCCUCCUCGACCUCAAGAGCAGCCGGUCUCUGAAGUAGAGGUUGCCGUUUCUCCACCUCGGCAGAUUGAAUGUCCGCCUCUUCCGCCUCCUCUGAUCUCUUCCAAUGUGGAAGGAGAGUCUUCUGGUCCCAGUGUUAGGACGCUUUCCCAAGGAGCUCAACUUCUCAUCCAAUGACUAGAGAGGAACCGUUCUACCCGAGGGAACCCUGGCCUAGCCAAGGUCAUGGGCACCUCCAUCUGCUUCCAAGAAGAUCGAAACAGAUUGGCAGAGGAGAGCAUGAACAAUAUUUUAACUCAGACAAUGAGUUUGGGCUUGGAGGCUAUUGAAAAUCAACAUGUGAUCAGAGAAAAAGCCCAUGUCUUAAGGAAGGAGAUUUUUAAGGCGGUCCAGGAUGCCUCAACUGCUAAGGCUCAACUCUCCUCUGCCAACGAUUACAUUGCCGGGCUAGAAGAUCGGGUGAAGCGUUGCGAAGAUAGGGUAGCCGAAGUGGAGCAAGAACUUGAGGUCUCCCGAGCUGGUCGAUUUGCCGAUCUCGCUCGUUUUGCCGAGGAACUUCGGGCGAAGGAGGAGGAGCUCCAGGCCAAGGAGGAGGAGCUCCAGGCUAAGGAAGAGGAAAGCACAACAAAAGAGGCUGGGGCAUAUGUGAACGCCCAUAAUGACCUCCUGGCCGAGCUGAGGAAGCGUUAUCCUGAGGAGGACUUCUCCUGGAUGAAUCAGCUCAUUCCAGAGGCCUAAGCGGAGAGCGAUGAGGAGCCUGAGAGAGAGGGAGAGGAUGACAGAACUGAUAAUGUACCCAGGGAGCAGGUUGGGAGAGAUCCUCCUGCUGAAUGACUUGUAUAUUUUAUUUUGAAAUGAAUUGAAGUCCUCUUUUUAUUUA